rnacentral:rRNA from 1 species
UACAGAGGGGGCAAGCGUUGUUCGGAAUUACUGGGCGUAAAGGGCGCGUAGGCGGCCCGCUAAGUCGAACGUGAAAUCCCCAGGCUCAACCUGGGAACUGCGUCCGAUACUGGCAGGCUUGAAUCCGGGAGAGGGAUGUGGAAUUCCAGGUGUAGCGGUGAAAUGCGUAGAUAUCUGGAGGAACACCGGUGGCGAAGGCGGCAUCCUGGACCGGUAUUGACGCUGAGGCGCGAAAGCUAGGGGAGCAAACAGGG